AAUCCAUGUUGCGGGCAUUUUCUCAAGAUCUCCUUGAACCUUUUUCCACAUCUCAAAUAGAGACUCCAAUUCCAACUGUACAAAGGACAAAAUCACAUUCCUAAGCUU